rnacentral:rRNA from 1 species
UACGUAGGGCGCAAGCGUUUAUCCGGAAUUAUUGGGCGUAAAGAGCUCGUAGGCGGUUUGUCGCGUCUGCCCGUGAAAGUCCGGGGCUCAACUCCGGAUCUGCGGUGGGUACGGGCAGACUAGAGUGAUGUAGGGGAGACUGGAAUUCCUGGUGUAGCGGUGAAAUGCGCAGAUAUCAGGAGGAACACCGAUGGCGAAGGCAGGUCUCUGGGCAUUAACUGACGCUGAGGAGCGAAAGCAUGGGGAGCGAACAGG